rnacentral:rRNA from 1 species
UCAGCCGCCGCGGUAAAACCAGCACCUCGAGUGGUCAGGAGGUUUAUUGGGCCUAAAGCAUCCGUAGCCGGUUGUUUAAGUUUUCGGUUAAAUCUAUGCGCUUAACGUAUAGGCUGCCGAAAAUACUGGACAGCUAGGGAGUGGGAGAGGUAAACGGUACUCAAUAGGAAGGGGUAAAAUCCUUUGAUCUGUUGAUGACCACCUGUGGCGAAGGCGGUGUACCAGAACACGUUCGACGGUGAGGGAUGAAAGCUGGGGGAGCAAACCGGAUUAGAUACCCGGGUAGUCCCAGCUGUAAACGAUGCAAACUCGGUGAUGCAUUGGCUUGUGGCCAAUGCAGUGCCGCAGGGAAGCCGUUAAGUUUGCCGCCUGGGAAGUACGUACGCAAGUAUGAAACUUAAAGGAAUUGGCGGGGGAGCACA